UACGUAGGAUGCGAGCGUUGUCCGGAAUUAUUGGGCGUAAAGAGAACGUAGGCGGUUUCUUAAGUUUGGUCUUAAAGACCGGGGCUCAACCCCGGGAGUGGAUCGAAAACUGGGAGACUGGAGGACGUCAGAGGAAAGUGGAAUUCCGAGUGUAGCGGUGAAAUGCGUAGAUAUUCGGAGGAACACCAGUGGCGAAAGCGACUUUCUGGGACGUUCCUGACGCUGAGGUUCGAAAGCUCGGGGAGCAAACAGG
rnacentral:rRNA from 1 species